AGAGUUUGAUCCUGGCUCAGAUUGAACGCUGGCGGCAUGCCUUACACAUGCAAGUCGAACGGCGGCACGGGAGCAAUCCUGGUGGCGAGUGGCGAACGGGUGAGUAAUAUAUCGGAACGUGCCCAGUCGUGGGGGAUAACGCAGCGAAAGCUGUGCUAAUACCGCAUACGAUCUCUGGAUGAAAGCGGGGGACUCGCAAGGGCCUCGCGCGAUUGGAGCGGCCGAUAUCAGAUUAGCUAGUUGGUGGGGUAAAAGCCCACCAAGGCGACGAUCUGUAGCUGGUCUGAGAGGACGACCAGCCACACUGGAACUGAGACACGGUCCAGACUCCUACGGGAGGCAGCAGUGGGGUUUUUUGGUCAAUGGGCGCAAGCCUGAUCCAGCAAUGCCGCGUGCAGGAUGAAGGCCUUCGGGUUGUAAACU
rnacentral:rRNA from 1 species